rnacentral:rRNA from 1 species
AUACGGAGGGUGCAAGCGUUACUCGGAAUCACUGGGCGUAAAGCGCGCGCAGGCGGCUUGAUAAGUUGGAUGUGAAAGCCUACGGCUCAACCGUAGAACUGCAUCCAAAACUGUCAGGCUAGAGUCUGGGAGGGGAAGAUGGAAUUAGUUGUGUAGGGGUAAAAUCCGUAGAGAUAACUAGGAAUACCAAAAGCGAAGGCGAUCUUCUGGAACAGUACUGACGCUGAGGCGCGAAAGCGUGGGGAGCAAACAGGAGUAGAAACCCUAGUAGUCC